rnacentral:rRNA from 1 species
AUCCCCGAGUGAACAAGAGCUAGAAAGGCAAGCUUAUGCUACUUUCGGAGAGCAAGUCAGAGUAGAACAAGGGUGGGUGCAAAUUGGCUUUUUCUUUCAAGGUUUCCGUUUUCCGGAGAGAAUGUUAGGGUUUAAUGUUCCCGGCAAAGGGGCCAACCCUUUUCUUUACCCACUAAGAUGGGCACUCUAGAGAGACUGCCAGGGAUAACCUGGAGGAAGGUGGGGAUGACGUCAAAUCAUCAUGCCCCUUAUGACCAUGGGCUACACACGUGCUACAAUGGCGUAAACAAAGGGAAGCGAAACUGUGAGGUGGAGCAAAUCCCAAAAAUAACGUCUCAGUUCGGAUUGUAGUAUGCAACUCGACUACAUGAAGCUGAAUUGCAUAGUAAUGGCAGAUCAG